AUUGAACGCUGGCGGCAGGCCUAACACAUGCAAGUCGAACGGUAACAGGAAGAUGCUUGCUUCUUUGCUGGCGAGUGGCGGACGGGUGAGUACUGUCUGUGCCACUGCCUGAUGGAGGGGGAUAACUACUGGACACGGUUGCUACUACCGCAUAACGUCGCAAGACCAAGGAGGGGGACCUCCCGCCCACUAGCAUUAGGCCAGGUCGGAUUAGCUAGUUGGUGGGGUAACGGCACACCUAGGCGACGAUCCGUAGCUGGUCUGAGAGGAUGAGCAGCCACACUGGAACUGAGACACGGUCCAGACUCCUACGGGAGGCAGCAGUGGGGAAUAUUGCACAAUGGGCGCAAGCCUGAUGCAGCCAUGCCGCGUGUAUGAAGAAGGCCUUCGGGUUGUAAAGUACUUUCAGCGGGGAGGAAGGGAGUAAAGUUAAUACCUGGACUCAUUGACGUUACCCGCAGAAUAAGCACCGGCUAACUCCGUG
rnacentral:rRNA from 1 species